GCGGCGGGAGCGGGCGGAGCGAGCGGAGCCAUGUCGGGCCGGGAGGGCGGCAAGAAGAAGCCGCUGAAGCAGCCGAAGAAGCAGACGAAGGACCUGGAUGAGACGGAUCUGGCAUUCAAACAAAAACAGAAGGAGGAGCAAAAGAAACUUGAGGAGAUGAAAGCAAAAGCUGCUGGAAAAGGUCCCCUGGCCAGUGGUGGAAUAAAGAAGUCUGGCAAAAAGUAGCUUGAUCAAACUGCAGGGUAAGAAGUGAUCAAGUUACUCAAUGGACCUGCAGACUUCAGAGAGUCUUGAAAACACUCUGUCAUUUGGGAAACAUUGUACAUUUUGUUUAGUCACAAUAAAUCCUUUUUGUUAAGAUGUGA